AGUGAACGCUGGCGGUAGGCCUAACACAUGCAAGUCGAACGGCAGCACAGUAAGAGCUUGCUCUUACGGGUGGCGAGUGGCGGACGGGUGAGGAAUACAUCGGAAUCUACUUUUUCGUGGGGGAUAACGUAGGGAAACUUACGCUAAUACCGCAUACGACCUACGGUUGAAAGCAGUGGAUCUUCUGACCUUGCGCGAUUGAAUGAGCCGAUGUCGGAUUAGCUAGUUGGCGGGGUAAAGGCCCACCAAGGCGACGAUCCGUAGCUGGUCUGAGAGGAUGAUCAGCCACACUGGAACUGAGACACGGUCCAGACUCCUACGGGAGGCAGCAGUGGGGAAUAUUGGACAAUGGGCGCAAGCCUGAUCCAGCCAUACCGCGUGGGUGAAGAAGGCCUUCGGGUUGUAAAGCCCUUUUGUUGGGAAAGAAAAGCAGCAGGUUAAUACCCAGCUGUUCUGACGGUACCCAAAGAAUAAGCACCGGCUAACUUCGUG
rnacentral:rRNA from 1 species